UUUGGAUUAUGGGGGGAAACCAGAGUACCUGGAGGAAACCUCACAGCGACAUGGGAAGAGCAUGCAAACUCCACACACUGGGAAUUAUGGCAGAAGCUUGAAUGCUAGUCCCAGAGGUGUGAGGCGACAGUGCAAACCACUGCACCGCCAUGCCGCCCCAAAGACGAUGAAUGCGAUUUAAAAAGACAUCAUUCCAACUAAGGAAAAGAAAAAUUCAAGGACAUUUUCUGUGAUUUCUAUUGAUUGAUUUUGUACGUUGAUAUCCUCUGUACCGUCAGCCAAUCGCAAGUGGGCGGGGAUUGCAGUACACUGUUGAUCGCUGCCACCAGCGGGGAUUGAGUAAGAUCAGAGAAGCAUAACAUCAUCCUCCUUGGGUUUCUGAGUCUUUCCGGCCUGGCUGAGGUAGCAGGUUAUAGAAAGAAGCAGGUUCACUGAGUCCUGAAGCAGCACUGCUGCCUGACACCUCUGGCUGGAAUCUGCCACUUGCUGAUUUACAUCUGUCAGACCUGCCAAAGCCCAAACCUGAUCUGCAGGUAUGGCCCAUCCCUUGCUCCGGAGAUCGAAAUCAGUGUCCCACAAUAGCAAGGGCCCAGUGCAACUGCCAGUAGCGGGUGGAGCUCACUUGAGGUGGUGCAGGGGUUUUACAGGAGUGGGGCAAUAUAGAAAAGAUCGCCCCCACACCCUCCACCCUCAGCCAAGGGCUAAGUUGCACCAUCCAAGGUGGACUCCCAUCCUGUGAGAAGAGCCCCUUCCAGAAGCAGAUCAUUAGAAAGCAAGACUAGGCAUGGAAGUACAAAGAGGAUAAAAAGGGUUAAACGCAGGAUAAGACGUGACUGAAAGCCGGGAUCGGCAGUGAUGCAGCAGUAAAUAAUGCAAGAAAACAAAGAAUGUUUUUUAUAACAGGAGGAUACAUGCAGCCAAGGAACGUUCUCCUCCUGAAUGCCUUCAGGAAGCAUCCACCCAUGUUACCAAAAUGGAAAACCCACCUUUUCACCUACUUUCUUAUAUUACAUUUCGGUUGUCCCGGUUGGCAGCAGGUCAAAUCUACUUAUACUGUAAAUAGUGUAUUUGCAUGUACCAAUAAAGUAAUCCACACAAUACAUUG